UUGGGAAUCUGGCCUCAUUAAACUUGAAGACUGAAACACAGGCCUUUUUCUGUCUGUAUCACAAAACUGUCUGAUCUCUUGCCACCGAAUAAGCGAAACAGCUGAAAAUGAGAGCCAAGGCUGAUCCCUGUGGGUGCCAAACUUUGAUGUCCGUGGAAUUGGCAGCUUCCCUCACUCUCCCAGCUGAAAACAGGUCAGUGAUUAAGAGAGUGGAACUUCAGGAAUUGUAAGGUGGACUUAUGGGAACAUUUGGAAG
rnacentral:lncRNA from 1 species